rnacentral:rRNA from 1 species
UACGUAGGUGGCAAGCGUUGUCCGGAAUUAUUGGGCGUAAAGCGCUCGCAGGUGGUCCGCUGCGUCGUGCGUGAAAGACCCCGGCUCAACUGGGGGGCGUCGUGCGAUACGGGCGGACUGGAGGCCAGUGAGGGGGAUGGCGGAAUUCCGGGUGUAGUGGUGGAAUGCGUAGAGAUCCGGAGGAACACCAGCGGCGAAGGCGGCAUCCUGGACUGGUCCUGACACUCAUGAGCGAAAGC